GACGAACGCUGGCGGCGUGCUUAACACAUGCAAGUCGGACGGAAAGGCCUCUUUCGGGGGGUACUCGAGUGGCGAACGGGUGAGUAACACGUGAGUAACCUGCCCUUGACUUUGGGAUAACUUCAGGAAACUGGGGCUAAUACCGGAUAGGAGCUCCUGCUGCAUGGUGGGGGUUGGAAAGUUUCGGCGGUUGGGGAUGGACUCGCGGCUUAUCAGCUUGUUGGUGGGGUAGUGGCUUACCAAGGCUUUGACGGGUAGCCGGCCUGAGAGGGUGACCGGCCACAUUGGGACUGAGAUACGGCCCAGACUCCUACGGGAGGCAGCAGUGGGGAAUAUUGCACAAUGGGUGGAAGCCUGAUGCAGCAACGCCGUGUGCGGGAUGACGGCCUUCGGGUUGUAAACCGCUUUCGCUCAUGACGAAGCUUUGCGUGACGGUAGUGGGUAAAGAAGCACCGGCUAACUACGUG
rnacentral:rRNA from 1 species